rnacentral:rRNA from 1 species
AUACGGAGGGUGCAAGCGUUGUCCGGAAUCAUUGGGCGUAAAGCGUUCGUAGGCGGCAUAUCAAGUCUGGUGUCAAAGCCUGGGGCUCAACCCCAGUUAGGCACUGGAUACUGGUAGGCUAGAAUGUGGUAGAGGUAAAGGGAAUUCCUGGUGUAGCGGUGAAAUGCGUAGAUAUCAGGAGGAACACCGGUGGCGUAAGCGCUUUACUGGGCCAUAAUUGACGCUGAGGAACGAAAGCCGGGGGAGCAAAUGGGAUUAGAUACCCCAGUAGUCCCGGCCGUAAACGAUGGAUACUAGGUGUUGCGGGUAUCGACCCCUGCAGUGCCGUAGCUAACGCGAUAAGUAUCCCGCCUGGGGAGUACGCACGCAAGUGUGA